GUAGGGAAUCUUGCGCAAUGGGCGAAAGCCUGACGCAGCAACGCCGCGUGAGGGAAGAAGGCUUUCGGGUUGUAAACCUCUUUCAGGUGGGACGAAGCUUCCAGGGUUAAUAGCCCAUGGGGUGACGGUACCUCCAGAAGAAGCCCCGGCUAACUACGUGCCAGCAGCCGCGGUAAUACGUAGGGGGCAAGCGUUGUCCGGAAUCAUUGGGCGUAAAGCGCGUGUAGGCGGCUUGAUAAGUCCGGUGUGAAACCUUGGGGCUCAACCCCAAGCCUGCACCGGAUACUGUCUCGCUUGAGUUCGGGAGGGGAGAGCGGAAUUCCUAGUGUAGCGGUGAAAUGCGCAGAUAUUAGGAAGAACACCAAUGGCGAAGGCAGCUCUCUGGAACGAUACUGACGCUGAGACGCGAAAGCGUGGGGAGCGAACAGGAUUAGAAACCCUAGUAGUCC
rnacentral:rRNA from 1 species